UGGGGGAACGGAGCCUCCAGCUCUGCUCCCACAGGCUGGGGCUUUGCAGUGGUGAGUGGUGACUCUUUUGGCCUCUUGUUUGAGCUGAAAAUGGCCCUGUCCAUGGAGGACCCAGGGAGCCAUUAUCACAUGUGAGCACUUCUUCUUUGAUGUUUGGGACUGGGGGACCAAGGCAAGGUCUCCACCAUCCUUAGCUUCCUGAACGCUACUGAAUGCCCACAGAAUGGACCCUGGGUUCUGGGAAGGGUCAUAGGCACCCCUACCCACACAAACCUUGUGCUGAGUUCUUGUCUUGCUAGAGGAAGCAAGGCAGGCAGACACUCUGGGCGGAGGUCUCAGGGGUCAUACUGUCUGCUUGGUUCUCAGACUCAGCCCAGACAGGGGAGGAAAGGUCAGACGCGCCUGGAGCUGAGAGUCCCCAGCCGUGGGGACUGGCCAUCCUGUGAGCACAGAGGCUUCUCAAGACAGUUCCAGUCCCGCUUCCGGGAGCUCCUAGGCCACACACUGUACUUCCGGGGCCUUGCUGUCUGAUGACAGGAGUGAUGGAUGGCAAGUCCCAUCGUCAAAGCACAGUCCAGGCCCAGGGGAAGAACUACAGGCCUUGGGGACACAGCCCUGUCAUUGGUCCCUGUGGCUUGGGCUAGGUGUUGGGGACAGCCCCUAACCUCGAAGGAUUCUAAAGGAGCAGCAUUUGGAGAAGGCCAAACCUGAAGACGCGCCAAGAGUCUCUGGUGGCUGCUGAGGUACAGAGGACAUCAUCUUUGAGUGUUAUGCUCAUGUGUGUACAGGUUCUGAGGAUGGAACUGGGGUCUUCAUGCCUGCACAGCAAACACCCUUCACCUCCUGAUCUUCCUCCCCAGCCCUCUCAAGGACACCAUUCUGGUGGUGGCAUUGAUGGGGCACCCUGUGAGUUUUAACAGCGGCCCCAUGAGCGAGGUUCUGCUCUCAUGCCCACUGAAUGAGUAAAGAAACUGAGGCAUACAGAGUUUGAAGUACCUGCUAACAGUCACUGUGGAAACCUGGAGGGCUUGGUGGGAUUCACAAUGGCCACUCAACCUUGGUCUUGAGCAAGACACUGGGAAGAGGAGAUGACUGCCUCCCGAGCAUUCAACCAGCAGUGACAAGGGCUCUCUGCGGACUGCCCACUCUGUCCCUAUAGCAUCUCUUCAAAGCUGUAUUGCUGCCUCCCUCCCCAACAGAGAGGCUAAGUGACUGGCCCAGAGUCACACAGCUAGGAAGUGGAGGAGACGGGGUUUGAAUCAGGCCACCAGGCAACUGAUCUGCAAAUAAGUCUAGCACUCGGCCUCCCACACGUGAUCCGGGGCGGGAGGAGACUGAAUGGGGUGGGCUGGAAUGCACCAGAACCAACUACAGGUUUCAACCAUCUGGGACCUCUGCACUCCCUCUGGCCGAUCCUGCAUCUUUUCUCUGCCGGAGGGCUCAGCUUUCUUCCAGCUUUGGCUUCCAAACUGUUGAGAGUCUGAAAAUGAAGGUUUAAACCAUUGGACCUGUAGUUAGCAAACACUAUCCAUCAGGCGUUAGGCCUUGUGCAGUUGGUAGGCUGGGAAACACUGCGCCCCCUACAGACCCCUCCUUCUGGGGCAGGGUGUUAGUUGCGAACAAGUAGAGAGCUUCUGAUUGGUCGAGACCUUGCUGCUCCGUGUGUGGGGGGCAUCAUUGGCCACUGGGUAGCCAAUGAGCUAGCUGCUCUCCGUCAGAGCAGCCAGCUCAUCAACUUGCCCUGACCCCGAGGUUCAGCUUCCUCUUCCGGGGUCUUGUUUUUAUUAGCUAUUUUGUGUCAUUUACUAAAUUAUUUGUUGACUGAAAACCAGGAAUUCCACAAUCCACAGAAGAAAGAAAGGCAAGCCUUGGCGGACUAGGGACCGUGCCGCCUUUAGCUCAGCCUCAUAGCAGUGACAUUUUCCCCAAAUGUUGGCUAAUACAGUGAGUUCAUUCGUAGCUGAACCUAUGUGAGCAUGCACAUUUUGGGGGAGGGGGCUGUGUGACACAGUUUAAAGACGCAGUCUUGGUGUACCCUGAUUUUUAAAUCACUUAACAGCAUUGACUGGCACUUGCAAACAACUUAGGGUUUGUGUCUGCGAAGGGGAGGAGUCUUCCCUAAACUGCAGACAGACCUGCUCGGGCCAGGGGGCGGGAAGUUCCUGGAGUUCGUGUGUGCCUUUGCUGCGACUCUGUUUCGUCCGAAGGGAACGGUUGGCAGCUUCCUGGACAGGCUGUGCCAGGAGUGUGUCCUUGUGAAUGGAAGGUCUCUUACUGACCGGUAACUCUGGGUACCCAGAAGGUCCCCGAGACCCCUUCUCCGCAGAACACAAGAGGCUCUUCAUGGUCUGUCAUUCGCUCCUCCAGUUGUGUGGUCCAAGAUGGCAGCCACCUCAGGAUAUUUAAACUUAAGCGAAUAAAGACAAUACUGAAAUGGCAGUCCUCUUUCUGCAUAUUGUGUGGGUGUGUACACACACACAUACAUGCCUGCAAGUAUCAAAAUCCUCUGGGGCUAGAGUUACAGGUCACUGGGAGGCACCGGACACGGUGCUGUGUUUUCUUUCGGGGAAGGGAGAAGAAGGAAAGUGUCUGCUUCAUGCUCCAUACAGAUGUGACUGCUUGGAAACACUCUUGCCCUGAAACCCAGGCUUCCCCGGAACUCACGGCAAUCCUCCUGCCUCACCAUAAGAUACAUUUCCUUUUUGCCACGCUCGCCUGUCAGUUGAUUGAAUGGUAUGUGACCUGUACCACUGAGGGUCACCAGGUUGUUAGUUCCCUCAGGCUCCCCAACAUCUUUCAUUCCCCAAAGCCGUGAGUAGCUGUCUGCGACCACACUAGGCAUCUCAGGUGGAAAGCUGAGACUCCUUCCUGACCCCCUAAGGGGUCUGCACGUGUGGGGGUGGGUUUGAGUAUGCAUGAAAGUUCAAGGUGCCUUCCCGGGCUCUUUUUAACCUCACCUUUUGAGACAGGGUCUCUCACUGAACCUGAAGCUCAUGGAUUUGGCUAGACUGGCUGGCCAGUGAGCUCCAGAGGUGUCAUUCCCCUGCCUGAGUGUGCGGCCAUUUUUGAGGUCCAAGUGGUGUCUGCCAUAAGGCUAGGGAAACUGGCUGUUCCUUUUGAUUAUUUUAAAAGUCAAGCAAUGUAUGGGGACUCCCCAUCUCAGUUUCUGACGUCACUAUAAGAUGAGGAAGGAAAUCAGGUCACCCACAAAAAUGCUUUUAAAUGAGAUCACCAUUUGGUCAAACAGAAAAAAUGGUCAAACAUGCUACCCAAGUGACAGUGGACACUUCCCCUCGUCCUAAGCAGCCCCCAUACACUGUGGGGACAAAGAACAGUACAGCCAAUGUUCUGAGCUCCAGACUGCCAAGACAGGACACUGGGUCUCUCCCAGCCUCAGUUUCCUCAUUGAAAAAAAAAGCUUAUUUGCCAUCCCUUGUCCACCUACUAUGGCUGAUGUGACCCCUGUCCACCUAUUAUGACUGAUGUGACCCCUUGGUGCUGCACGCUGUGGGAAAGCAGCAGAGAGCCUCAGUGUGUCUGUCCCUAGAAUUCUGGAGGUCCCCAGAUCUUAACCAUGUCAUCUGGGCUGAAUAGAGCAGCUUGGGGACCAUCUUCCUGCCUGUGGAGGCUGGAGGGGCUGAGAUGAUCCUAGCUAUACUGAGAGCCCAGCAGGGUCAGAACUCUCAGCAGCCGCUCCUUCUCAUCCUGUGUGAGCUAGACUCUGCCACCUGGUUCCCCGAGAUGUCCUAACAACACCACAUACCAGGAAGACUCUUGAGACUGCUUCCUAGUGUGGGGAAACUGAGGCACAGUGACAGGAAUGGCCUCUCCAGCACUGUAAAACCGAGCCCUGAGCCUAGCUGGAAAUGGGCUUCCUACCAGCUUGGGUAACAUGGAGGGGCUGGCACGGGCAGGGCUGGCCCCUUCUUUGAGGGCAGUAGAGGUUUAUUUGUAUACAUCUAUUUGUGUAAAUAUAAACUAUUCACAAUCAUGGGUGUGGCAUUUUCAGGCAUGUAUAGAAUGUGUUUGGAUUUUAGUGACUCCAUUUCCCCCUCUACUUUCUCUCUCUCUCUCUCUCUCUCUCUCUCUCUCUCUCUCUCUCUCUCUCUCUCUCUCUGUGUGUGUGUGUGUGUAUGUGUGUGUAUGUCCCAGUAGUUUACUGAAAGUUGCUUAGGUGGUGGAUGAGAGGCUCUUUAUAGGACUUGCACACUUGGUCAGUGGUGUAGAGAAAGGACAACUA